rnacentral:rRNA from 1 species
AUUGAACGCUGGCGGCAGGCCUAACACAUGCAAGUCGAGCGGCAGCGGGAAAGUAGCUUGCUACUUUUGCCGGCGAGCGGCGGACGGGUGAGUAAUGCCUGGGAAAUUGCCCAGUCGAGGGGGAUAACAGUUGGAAACGACUGCUAAUACCGCAUACGCCCGACGGGGGAAAGCAGGGGACCUUCGGGCCUGUCGCGAUUGGAUAUGCCCAGGUGGGAUUAGCUAGUUGGUGAGGUAACGGCUCACCAAGGCGACGAUCCCUAGCUGGUCUGAGAGGAUGAUCAGCCACACUGGAACUGAGACACGGUCCAGACUCCUACGGGAGGCAGCAGUGGGGAAUAUUGCACAAUGGGGGAAACCCUGAUGCAGCCAUGCCGCGUGUGUGAAGAAGGCCUUCGGGUUGUAAAGCACUUUCAGCGAGGAGGAAAGGUUGAUGCCUAAUACGUAUCAACUGUGACGUUACUCGCAGAAGAAGCACCGGCUAACUCCGUGCCAGCCGCCGCUGUAAUAC